GAUAACCUUUAAUUAUAUAGAUCUUGUUACCCCAGUUUAUACUAAGAUACAUACAAUUGUCAUUUUGCAAAGAGAAGGACUAGAAGAUAGCCAAAGAAAAUGAAAUUCCUUGUAGCUGUUUUAGCAGCCGCGCUGCUCUUCGCUAAAGCUCUUGCUGGAGGCUGGUCUACUUCCAGUAGUAACGGUUGGGGCGAUAAGGAGGAGAAAUCGUGGGACAAUGACAACAAUGGAUGGGAUGAGAUGUAUGGUUCUGGCAGUUUCAACUCCAUCUUUGUACCAAUGAUGUUGGCAUCGCUUGUUGUUGCUCUCUUUGCUUGUCGUUAGAAGAAAGAUAAAGGAUGCAGUAUGGAUAUGUGAUAACCCACUAAAAUGCGCUUAACUGUCUUUUCGCCACUUUGCGUUGUAUUCGGAAUAUGCCAAUUAACGUAAAUGUUUUCUUGAUAAUGACUAAUUAAGUCCUACGAUGAACGGAAGUAUGAGUGCAUAGGGACAUACUUCCUGGAGUGCAUGCAGGAGGAGGAGGUCCUCGAUCACAUUCAUGGUCAUACUGAGACUUUCACUGGCUUACUCAGAAUAGACUAUAUACGGAUAUUUUUUUUUUAUUUUCGUUGCAAUACAUACCAUGGAAGCAAAAAGUUUUAAUUUUCAAUUUAGCACGAGCGAGGUGCUAGUAUAAACCUCCAGUUCACCAGCUUGGAUAUUUUCUCAUACUUUGCAUAGAUAUUAAUAAUUUGAGCCGUGCCAUGAGAAAACCAACAUAGUGGCUUUGCGACCAGCAUGGAUCCAGACCAGCCUGCGCAUCUGCGCAGUCUGGUCAGGAUCCAUGCUGUUCGCUUUCAAAGCCUACUGCAAUUAGAGAAACCGUUAGCGAACAGCAUGGAUCCUGACCAGACUGCGCGGAUGCGCAGGCUGGUCUGGAUCCAUACUGGUCGCAAAGCCACUAUGUUGGUUUUCUCAUGGCACGGCUCUUAUGAUCGAUUGGUAAUACCAAACGGCGUGGAUCAAGAGGACACCCUCAUCUCCAUUUACUAGUUCGUUGCGUGGAAUAACUGGAAAUACAAAACGUAUUACUUGUUGUAAAUAUCAACUUUGUCUAGGUCUGUCCAUAUACUUGUAAAGUAUCUAACAAUAAUUUCACUCGCUGAGGCUCUAAUGAACGUCAUGCAUAUCUUGUUACUAACUACGUGUUCACACAUGUCAUGUUCGCUCGUUUAACAACCGAAGACACAAAUAUGUAUAUUGUGGAGUCUUUUUCUUUAAUUAGACGUACAUGUAGUUGUUAUAUUGAAUAAACUUCAUGGUUACAUU